CCUACGGGAGGCAGCAGUGGGGAAUAUUGGGCAAUGGGCGCAAGCCUGACCCAGCAACGCCGCGUGAAGGAAGAAGGCUCUCGGGUUGUAAACUUCUUUUAUCAGGGACGAAGCAAGUGACGGUACCUGAUGAAUAAGCCACGGCUAACUACGUGCCAGCAGCCGCGGUAAUACGUAGGUGGCAAGCGUUAUCCGGAUUUACUGGGUGUAAAGGGCGUGUAGGGGGGAAAGCAAGUCAGAGGUGAAAACCUUGGCCUCAACCUUUGCCUGCAUUUGAAACUGUUUUUCUUGAGUACUGGAGAGGCAGACGGAAUUCCUAGUGUAGCGGUGAAAUGCGUAGAUAUUAGGAGGAGCACCAGUGGCGAAGGCGGUCUGCUGGACAGCAACUGACGCUGAGGCGCGAAAGCGUGGGGAGCAAACAGGAUUAGAUACCCGAGUAGUC
rnacentral:rRNA from 1 species